GAUGAAGAACGUAGCGAAACGCGAUAGUUAAUGUGAAUUGCAGAAUUCAGUGAAUCAUCGAGUCUUUGAACGCACAUUGCGCCCCCUGGUAUUCCGGGGGGCAUGCCUGUCCGAGCGUCAUUGCUGCCCAUCAAGCGCGGCUUGUGUGUUGGGCCGCCGUCCGCCUUCCCCCCCGGGGGGAGGGGGACGGGCCCGAAAGGCAGCGGCGGCACCGCGUCCGGUCCUCGAGCGUAUAGGGCUCUGUCACCCGCUCUGGAGGCCCGGCCGGCGCCCGCCGACCCCCAACCUUCUUCUAACCAGGUUGACCUCGGAUCAGGUAGGGAUACCCGCUGAACUUAAGCAUAUCAAUAAGCGGAGGA
rnacentral:misc_RNA from 1 species